AGUGAACGCUGGCGGUAGGCCUAACACAUGCAAGUCGAACGGCAGCACAGUAAGAGCUUGCUCUUACGGGUGGCGAGUGGCGGACGGGUGAGGAAUACAUCGGAAUCUACUUUUUCGUGGGGGAUAACGUAGGGAAACUUACGCUAAUACCGCAUACGACCUACGGGUGAAAGCAGGGGAUCUUCGGACCUUGCGCGAUUGAAUGAGCCGAUGUCGGAUUAGCUAGUUGGCGGGGUAAAGGCCCACCAAGGCGACGAUCCGUAGCUGGUCUGAGAGGAUGAUCAGCCACACUGGAAGUGGGACACGGUCCAGACUCCUACGGGAGGCAGCAGUGGGGAAUAUUGGACAAUGGGCGCAAGCCUGAUCCAGCCAUACCGCGUGGGUGAAGAAGGCCUUCGGGUUGUAAAGCCCUUUUGUUGGGAAAGAAAAGCAGCAGGUUAAUAACCCGCUGUUCUGACGGUACCCAAAGAAUAAGCACCGGCUAACUUCGUG
rnacentral:rRNA from 1 species